rnacentral:rRNA from 1 species
CACGUAGGGUGCGAGCGUUGUCCGGAAUUAUUGGGCGUAAAGAGCUCGUAGGCGGUGUGUCGCGUCGGCCGUGAAAACCUGCAGCUUAACUGUGGGCUUGCGGUCGAUACGGGCAUCACUGGAGUUCGGCAGGGGAGACUGGAAUUCCUGGUGUAGCGGUGAAAUGCGCAGAUAUCAGGAGGAACACCGGUGGCGAAGGCGGGUCUCUGGGCCGAUACUGACGCUGAGGAGCGAAAGCAUGGGUAGCGAACAGGA